rnacentral:lncRNA from 1 species
ACACUCUCGGUUCAUAUCAUACUAUCAUCUAUUUUAUGAAAAUUAUAUGCGCUAGGUUUUUUAUGAAAAUAAUGAAUUCAUGGUGCACGUGAAGAAGAAUACAUUUACAUACCUGUUGGAUACCACGUCCUUAUUCACACAACCAAACGUACAAGGAUUGAUACCUUGUACUUGAAAUUUGUAGUGUUAAUUAUUUCAAUAUUUGGGGUUGUGAUUUGUCCUUAAUAACAAAAAUAAUUUAAGGAUAGUACUAGUAUACUUGGAAUGUAAUUAAUACACCACAUGUCAAGUUUAAUUUUAUAGCAUGAUUUUGUAGAAAAUAAAUUCCACUUGAGCUCCCAGUAUAUUAUCUAAAUUCUAGACAAGAUUGUGUCUAUCCACCUCUGAAUUUAAUGGUUCUAUAAUUCACCAAUAGGUGAUAUCACUUAGAUUGAUCAAAUAAAUUGAUGAAUUGAGAAUUUGAGAAUGAGC